AUUGAACGCUGGCGGCAGGCCUAACACAUGCAAGCCGAACGGUAGCACAGAGAGCUUGCUCUCGGGUGACGAGUGGCGGACGGGUGAGUAAUGUCUGGGAAACUGCCCGAUGGAGGGGGAUAACUACUGGAAACGGUAGCUAAUACUGCAUAACGUCGCAAGACCAAAGUGGGGGACCUUCGGGCCUCACACCAUCGGAUGUGCCCAGAUGGGAUUAGCUAGUAGGUGGGGUAAUGGCUCACCUAGGCGACGAUCCCUAGCUGGUCUGAGAGGAUGACCAGCCACACUGGAACUGAGACACGGUCCAGACUCCUACGGGAGGCAGCAGUGGGGAAUAUUGCACAAUGGGCGCAAGCCUGAUGCAGCCAUGCCGCGUGUAUGAAGAAGGCCUUCGGGUUGUAAAGUACUUUCAGCGGGGAGGAAGGCGGUGAAGUUAAUAACUUCACCGAUUGACGUUACCCGCAGAAGAAGCACCGGCUAACUCCGUGCCAGCAGCCGCCGUAA
rnacentral:rRNA from 1 species